CUCCGGAGAGAGGGUGAGGAAGUGAGAGAAAGUAGAUUUCCGAGGAGAGUGGGUAAAAGAAGGAGAAGCCGGGAGACUGGGUGGGGACAAGCUGGUUUGCUGCGGUUGUCAGGGCAGCCCCAAACGUCUGGGGUCCAGGGUCAAAGUAAUGUUCUUUUCUCCUCUGGUGCGCCCUCUCUUCCAGGGCAUUUCUUGAGCGCUCCGCUCGCUUUUCGAAGAGAGAGAGCUGCGCCUUGGCUCCACGCCGGAUAGGGCCAAACCUCCAAGGGCCAGGUCUGAAGCUGAGGACUGGCAGGGGCUACAAGCGUUCCGGAGGCGCUGAGCAAAGUGAGAGGGUGGUGAUGGAAAAGAAAAGCGGUCCGUUAGAUGAAUUGGAUUUAUCCUGAGUACCCGCAACAGGUAGGAAACUAGGUAGAGUUGAUGAGCCUGUGAUGAUACCGCUUCCUAGGUGUUUCCUCAUAGAAACUUGAAGAAGUUACUUGGCCACAAAAUGCAAACUUCUACAGGGCGGGGAUCGUGGCACAUAGCCAUGUAACAUUGUAACUCUUGAGAAAAGAAAUGAAUUCCAAGGGUAGCAGGGGCAAAAAUAACGCAAACACAAAAGAAUGUACUUAGAUUUUUUCAAAAAAGAAGAUGCGGUAUCCCAAAGAUACAGUGUUACGUGAAAUAGCAAUUAGGAUGCUAGCGGGGAACCGAGACAUUGAAUGUAUUUCUGUGUGGCAAGGUAGGAGGAAGAGACCCUAACACAAACCCUUUCUGGAACUUUUUAAACUUUUGGUCCCGUCUGGUAUAUUUUGUUAUGGUGGAGCAAAAUACAGAAAUAAACGUUUAAAGUGGAAGCGUUUCUUAAAGAAACACUUUUAAGGCAAAGGAGGGUUUUCGUUUGUUUUGUUAUACACACACACACACACACAUAUAUAUGUUUUAUAUGUAUAUUUAUAUGUAUUUAUAUUAUAUAUAUACAUAUAUGCUUUUUUUUUUUUUUUGAAGAAAGUCAGUGGGUUUAUAGAACUCAGCACUGGAAUACUAUUGAAGUCACUUGAAGGUGUUACAAUGAAGGAAAGGUAAAAAUAAACUUAGAAAAUAAACUUAGCAAACAAUCUAUGCCUAGAAAUAAUUCACACCGAAGAUUAACUUGAUUGUAAAUUAAAUGCAGACCUUAAAAUAAAACUGGUAAGAAUGUAAAUUUUUAUUUCCCAGAGACUUGUUUAAUUAAAAAAGAAUUAUAUUUGAAUGCUAGAGUACUGAUGUAUUUAAAAGUUUAGGAUAAGAAAAUUAAGUUGUAAAGCAUGUGUGCUUUUCACCAUCAUGGAUUUGUUUGUAAGUAGGAUUCAAGGAAAAAAUGCAUUGAUGAAUUCUAUUCUGCUAUUAGAAGUUAUCCUGUCAACGUGCAGUAUAGGUGAAUACUUUGUACUUCUGGAAAUAAAUUUUAUGAUAGUUUUUGUGAUGAAGUUCAUGGAGUUGUCUACUGUUGUGUAGGUCUUCAUGUCUUCCAUCUACAACUGGUUAUAUCUGAUAAUAAAACAGCCCAAAAUUCUCUUUGCAGAAUACUCCUUAAAUGGGUUUGACGACUGUUACCAACUGGGAGAGAUGUAAUCCAAAUAAUAAUUAAACACAUCUUAUAAUUUUAUUUGUCUAAUGUCUGGCUGAGGUCUGCCUUCCUCUCCAGACAGUAAGCUCUUUGAAAUCAAGGAUCAUAUUUAUUUUGUACACUAUGUAUAUAUAGAAUGCAGUAGUACUCAGCACAUUGUAUGUUCUUGCCAGUUAGGUGGCCAAUCUGCAUUUAGAACUAUUCCCAACUCCCUGAAAAACUUCCUUGAUAAAUUAUUUAUCUUCUAUAUCAGAAGAACUGUAAGUACAGACACCAAACAUGUAAACUUGUUGGCAAAAAACUAGUAACAACUUCAAGUGAAAAACUUAAGCCAGCAAACAGAUUACCUAUGAAUUAUAAUUAAAGAAAACUGUCUUAACAAAGUGUGUCCAACUGCUUUUAAAUGUGGGGGCAGGGCAUGUCUUGCCCUGAAUCAUGCCUGACUUAUUCCUUAAAUUUUAAUCCUGAAAUUAGUAUGGAUAUCAAAUCAAAUUUUAGAUCAAACAGUGUAAAUUAGAAGCAAUAACAACUCAAUGUACAUUUAUAUCAAGAAGUGUUAACUUGUUUUUCAACUAAAUCUGGUUAGGAGGUUUGGGAAAUUUAAUUUGUUGAGCUAAGGAAGUAGUAAACUGCAGAACUAUUAAUACCAUUUUGACAUUAUUUUAGUUGGGUUGCUAUAAUAAGUUAAACAUAUACUUGGUGGCUUAAAAAGCAGACAGUUUGAAGGACAUGAAGUCCAAUAUUAAGGUGCUGGCAGAUCUAGUAACUGGUGAGGGCUUUCUUCCUGGCUUGUAGAUGGCUUAUCUUCUCUUUGUAUUUUCGUGUGGUAGAGAGCCGCCAGAGAAUAAACUCUCUCAUGAUUUCAUUACCUUUAGUGUCACUUCUUAAUACUGUCACAUAGGGGAUUAGAAUUUCAACAUGAAUUUUGGGAGAGACACAAAAAUUCAAGUCCAUAAAAAAUAUGGACUAAUUUAAUAAAGAGGUUUUUGGAGCGUAUGAGAUAUAGUUAUUAUAACCAAGCACUAUAAAACCUACUCUACAUUUAAGACCUGUUUCCAAUAGCCUAUUCAAUAUUAGGUAACUUAAUACCCCCAACUUAUUAUUUUUGGUAUAGGGAAAGUCUAAAAUAUUAUAGAGCUAUUUGCUUUCAGUGUAUCAUGAAGUUCUCUUAAAGUCUUGAAUAAAGAAGUUUUCUGUUCUGCAACAGAUUUGUGAAGGGAUUGUGAAACCUCACACAAGGUUUCAGUUGGUAGAUGGUCAUCUCAAAAGGAAUUGUAAUUUUUAAUUAUUUCAGCAGUUUGGACUAUUCAUGUAUACAUUAAGUUGAGGAUUAUAGAAUCUCUAAUAUGGAUUUUUUGGUCUCUAUAUUUGGGGAAUACCUUCAAUUAUGUAUGAUUUCUUGAGCAAUAUUUUGGGUAGUACUGGCUGAAAAAAAAGGAAAUAUACAUGUUGCUAGGACAGUUGGGUUAGAUCUUAUUUUAGAGAAAAAUAUUGAACCUUUGGUAAUUGCUAUAGUUUAGAUGUAGUUUGUUUCCCAAAUAUUCAUGUAUUGGCAGCUUGGUCACUUGUGUGGUAAUGUUGAGAGGUUGUGUGACCUUUAAGAAGUGGGACUUAGGGCCUGGGUUUGUGGCUCAGUGGUAGAGUGCCCAGCAAGUGUGAGGCACUAGGUUCAAUUCUCAGCACCACAUAUAAAUAAAUAAAUAAAAUGAAUGAAUAAAUAAAUAACAUGAAGGUCAAUUGACAACUAAAAAAAAUACUGAGGGGGUGGGGAGAAGAAGUGGGACCUAGUAGGAGUUGAUUAGAUGUUUUGGGUAAUUGCCCUGGGAAGGGAUUAAGGUACUUCUCAUGUGACCCUGAGUUAGUUCUCAAGAUUAGGUUGUUGUAAAAAAUGCAAACCUGGCCUCUCUCCUCCCUUUGACUAUCUGUCACACCUUGUGUGUGAUCUUUCCCUCUCACACUCACUUUGUCCCUGAUGCCAUCUGUCUUCAUGUGAUAAAGCUGGGGAAUCCUCACCAGAGCCCUUACUAUGCUGUUUGAACUUUGAGCCUCCCCACUGUGAGCUAUGUAAACCUCUUUUCUAAAAUUUCUUUAGAAAGUACCCAGCCUCAGGUGUUUCUUUAAUCGAAUAUAAAAUGGGCUAAUACAAGAAUGUCCCUUUAUUUUCUCUGGAAAGUAAAAUCGACCAGGUAUUAGAGGACUUUGCUCCUUUCUCUCCAUUGCCAGACUUUUCUGACUUAUAACCUGGGGAGACUGGAGAAGAUGACUUCUUUAUUUUGACUAAAGUUCUGAAUGAAAAGAUGAAGAUGAGUUAAAAAUUAAUAUUAAAGUGAGAGAGGUGAAUCACCUAGUAUUUAUUUAGCUUAUUUCUUUAAAAACUUAGUUUUGAGUCAGGCAUGGUGGUACACACCUGUAAUUCCAGUGACUUAGGAAGCUGGUACAAGAGGAUCGAAUGUUCAAGGCCAGCCUCAGCAACGUAGCAAGGCCCUGUCUCAAAAUUAAAAAAAAAAAAAAAAAGGGAUUGGGGUAUUGCUCAGUGGUAAAGCACCUCUGAGUUCAAUCCCUGUUACCAAAUAUAAACAAACAAACUUAGUUUUGACAAUUUAAUUGGAGAAAAACUGAGUUUCCCCCCCGCAAUGUCCACCUGAUUACUUACUUCAGACAUUUAUAACCCUAUUUUUAAAAAAUUUUAUUUUUAAAUAAUCACAGGAAUUGAAAAAAAAAGUACAAGAAGGUCCCAUCUACUCUUUAUUGUCUCCCCCAAUCAUUGCAUGCUACCUAACUAUAGUAUACUAUCAAGAAAAGGCAAUUAAUAUUGGUAUUAUUAUUAUUGAAGUUAUUCAGAGGAGAGGGAAGACAUUAGAAUAUAAAUAAUAUGUGAAGGUAUCAGGGGUCCCCAUAUACUAGAAACUCUACAAUCCUACACUUUAUGGGAAAGAAUUCUAUAGUUACAGUAAUAAUUACUUUUACCAAAUAUUGAAUAUCUACUAUACUCGAGUCAAGGUGUUUUAUUUGCAUGAGGUAUUGAUUAUUGUUGUAUUUGUAUUUCUUCUAUUAUAGAGAGAUAACAGUUAUUGAGCACUUAUGGGGUAGGCAUUCUCUAAGUAAUUCUAUAAAUUUAUAUAUACACUAUAUAAGUCACACAUAUAUAUACAAAUAAACACAUUGAAUCCUCAAAACCUGUGAAGUAAGAGUAAUCACUUUACAAAUGAGAAAAUUGAAGCACAGAGGUGUAGUCAUUUGCCCAAGAUCAUGCAGUGAUAGAGCUGACAUUUUGAACUAGGCCUGACAUUACAGCCAACACUCCUGAUUAUCACAGAGAUACAUAAACUUCAGUAUUCAUAGUAACCUUUCAAAGUGGGUAUUAUUGUUUCUAUUUUCUUUAUGAGGAAGUUAAGUGACUUGCUUAAGAUCCUACACAACUAGAGGGUGCUGGAAUUCCAGUUUGAUUCUAGGUCUGCCUAGUUGAAAAACCUCACUGUUUCUAGUUGACCCUUCUGCCUCCCUAGCCUCUCACACAGAUCUCAGCUGGAUCUCUAUAAAGAGCUAGUUCUGAAGACUGACAGUGUUUCUCAAACCUGAGUGUAUCAGAAUCACCUGAGAGGCUUAAAACCCAAAUUGGGAGAUUCUGUCCCUAGGACUUCUGUUUUAGUAGGCCUGCAUAGCCUUUGAAGAGCUGAAUUUCUAGCAGAAGCUCAGGUGAUGCUAAUGAUGUUUUACGUUCUUGAACAUCCUUUGAGAACUGCCCUAACAGAACUUAUUAUAAGGUGGCAGCCUUAAGAUAAGGGCAAAGUUAAAAUAAGAGUAAUUGUGCAUCACAAUAAUAGAUCAUAUGUCAUAUAACUAUAAUGCAUAGGUAAGUCAUGGUUAUAUAUCUCUUACUCAAAAAUGUACCAAAUAAUGUUUUAAGAACAGAAUUUUCUAGGCCAUAACAUCCAAUUGCAUAUUUUAAUAGAUUUAUGCAAUGUUUUCCCUGUGUCUAAUUUUUCUCUUGAGUUUUCUCAAAUACCAGUUUAUGGCAUUUUUCACAGUAAGUGGCUCCACUGGGCCUGUUAAGUCUAUUUUGAGUUUCUUGGUGUUAGCUUAAAUCUUAUAUACUCUUCCAUUGCCCUUCUAGCUCCUUAAAGGCUCAGACUUGUCCCAGUUCUUGAGUCAAUUCCCAAAGAGGCAAAGUGUGACUCCAUUAACUGUUCUUCCUUCUGAAUUCCAGUCUAUUUGCCAGGCAUGCUAGUUUACUUCUACUAGUCUCUUUCUCAGGCCCUGCCCCUGCAGGCACAGAGGAAUGGGGUUUCCUGCCACACCUGACCAACCUCUUGGAAUCAUCUCUGAUACCAAUAAACAAAACAGAAAUGCAGAUUUAGCAUCUUUAUUUUUAGUUGUCCUGUUCAGAGAUUCCUUCACAAUCAUAACAAUGGGGAAAAAUCCAUUAAUACCCAGUCACUUCUACUAAUUGUGCUACUCAGUUUCUUGAGUUGAAAUAUUAGGUAUCUUUGAUUCUUCAUUCUUUUCUCCUACAUCACAUGUUGAGUAAGUACAAAAUUGUAAUAAAUAAAUAGAACAUCUUCAUGAAUUUGUCUUCUUUCCAUUCCAAUCCUCUGUCAUCCCUGUAUAAUGUCUAUAAGAAUUGUUUCAUGUUCCUGAUGUCUUGGAAUUAUAUUGUCAUAGCCCAUUUAGUCUUCAUAGGACACUGUUAAAAAGUGCUUCUUGAUAAACAUUUAUAUAUGUAACAAUCAUUUAAAACAAAAAAAAAUUCAUCAUAAGACAAAGAUAAAGGCAGAUAAAUAUCUAUGGAGAUAACCAAAGGUAAAUCAUUAAAUAGAGUUUUACUUUUGUUUGUGAAAAUGAUAGAUUCCUACCUUUAGUAAUAUAUCGUACUUGGAAAUUUGAGAAUAGUAGUACUAAACAGAUUGGUGAAAAUUCUUGUUAAUAUGACUGGCUUUAAUAACUUUAGUGAAGACAAACUGAUGCUCUAAAACAAAUGACUGCUUUGGAUAAUCACAUAUAAGUAGAAUUCUCUGGUGCAUUUAUUAGGUUUUUUUUUGUCUCUAUUACUGAGCAUACAUUAUAUGUGACAUGGUACCAUGUAUACACAUGUAAUUCUGGAAUGAGAAUUUAAAAAUAGUACAAAAUUGAACACUUUCAAGGCACAUAAAUUAGUCUUGAAAUACACACCUCAUAGGAUUCAUCAACUUUCUAUUUAUAGUUUGUCACCAUGUUAUACAAAACCCUGAAAUGUCUUAGAGAACUUCUCAAAUAAGAGUUUUGACAGAUUCUCUAGAUACUUACAAAGUCAAAUGUUUAUAGCUUUUGAUGUGUCAUGUAGAUUUAGUUGUCACUGAUUACCUUAUGAUGAACUUCAGAAAAAUCUUUAACAACAAAUCUUUUAAUGUUUUUCUCCAGCACACUAUUAAAUCCUAGAAACCUUUGUCAUUUCACCUGUAUGCUUAUUCCAACAUUCUUAUUAGGACCUGUUGAAGGUUGCUGAUUAUAUGACUAAUGAGAAUGAGAACCUGGUAAGUGUUAGCCAUCUUAUUUAUAAGUCAUUAGAUAUUAGAAUGUCUUGUACUCUUGCCUUUUGGCUACAACCCUAAGAUCUGCCUAAUCAAACCUUGAUGUUCUACAUGGCAGAACAUAAGCUACCAUACUGAUCCCAAAUUAGACUUCCCAGGUUUUUAGUUCUGCUUAUAAAUAGAAGCAUCAAAGGAAACAUUUAACUUGUGGGAAGAUCAAGUCAACUAAUGACUAAUAAUACUACUAUUUUGUUAAUUCGUGGCUAUCAUGGGACCCUUUAGAGCAGUAGAAAGAUAUCAAUACCCAGGUGACCUGGUAGAGCUAUUAAAUUAAAUACCUUAGAAAAAUUAUUUCUAAGGACUGAAAAUUCUUAAGUUUUAUAUUUUUAUUCUUAUUUUUCUUAUACUUCUAUUUUGCAUGUGAAAGGAGGAAAAAAAUCACCUUGCAUUUAUCUAUCCUAAUAAUCAUUAAUAUGUGAAACUCUUUUUUUUUAAAAAAAAAAAAGUAAUUCAAGUUAGCCAUAGAUAUCUUUUAAGAGCCACACAUCUCUGUCUACUGGUUGGAUUUCUGUCAGUCUUCUUGGAGGCACUCUGGUGGCAUUGAGUUGAUCUAUAGGAUACACUGGCAAACUGGCUAAUUUCAGUGCCCUCCCCAGUAAUAAUUUAAACACACUGUGUUGCUUAUAUCACUAACUGUAUUGACCUUAAAAAAAAACAGGAAAGGGAGGAAAAGAUAAACUACCUUAUAUAUUUCUACCCACCUAUCCAUGUGCAACAACUUACUAUGGUGUGUAUCUUAGCCUAUGUUUUAUGAUGUAAUAUAUAAUACAAUUUAGUGUAUACCUAAGUGUAUAGUCAGGUACUGCUUUAUGAACAUGUGACCCAUACAAUCACAUAGAGUCCCAUGCUUGGCUUAAUGCUCUGUUGUCACUGUCUUGAAAUUCUUAGGUUCUUAGGUUUGAAACAUGGAGCUCCACAUUUUCAUUCUGCACUAGUCCCUGCAAGUUAUGGUAUAGUAUAGAGUACAUUCUUAUAACUAGUUACAAUUCUUUUUUUUUUCAGCCUUUUCAAAAAAUGCUUGUAUAAUAUUUGUAUUUUAAAUGUAAAUAAGCACUUUAAAUGUAAAUAGGAUCACACUAUAAACCAUUCUAAACCUGCUUUUCCAUUUCAUAGAGAGACAUUAAUUUAUCAUACUUUUUGGUGGCUGAAGAGUAGUCUUUUAUAUGGGUAAACCUUAAUUUAUUUAAUCAAUCACUUACUGAUAGACACAUGUUGCCUUCUAUUCUUUGUUGUGAUAGAGUAAACAUAUUUGAAUAUACAUAUUUGUGUACCUGCCCCACUAUUUUCCUAGGAUAAAUUUCUGAAGUGAAAUUGCUGAGAGCAUUUUAAAAUGUGAUACAUACCACCUGGUUGCUCCUCAGAAAGAUCAUACUAGAUUAUAUCAAUCUAAAUCCCAUCAAGAGUGUACAAACAUUGUCAUUGCCCCACAAGCUAACUGAGCAUAGUAACUCAAUUUCAUCUCUGCCAAUCUGAUAGCGCCUAUCUAAUGGUCUUAGCUUACAUUAUUAUCUCACUAGGAUACCAUUGAUUCCACUAAUAUGAAAUGGCUAUCAAAGUGAGUACCAUUAGGUGGUGAUUCUGUUUUGGCCUACUAGCUAAAUAUGUGAGGUAUAUAAAAGUCCUCGACUUUUCUUUAAAAAUAAUAAUAUUCUUGCUUGCCACAUGUAACAUUCACAGAUACUGUAUAUGCUCAAAGAGACUAAGGACACUAAUUUACUGUCUUUCUGCUCUUAACCCCUCAACUAUUAAAAAACAUAAUUUUGACAUAAUUUCAGUGUUGUAAGAAAAUACAAGGUUGUAAGAAAAUAGUACAAAGAAUUCCUUCACAAAGAUUCUCUAAAUGUUAGUAUUUUACCACAUUGACUUUCACAUCCUCUCUUUUUGUCUGACCUCUGAUAGUAAAUUGCAGGCAUGAUGUUUUUAUACUCCAAAUGCUUCCAUUCCAUUUUCUUUCAUAAUUGCAGAAUAAUUACCUAAAUGAGAAAAACUGAUACAAAAUUAUUUAUAUAUAUAUAUAAAACCAACAUUUACAUUUUCCUAGUAAUACUCUAAUUUUUAGAAAAGGAAGGGAAAAAAUUCUUGUCCAGAAUUCAAACCAGGAAUAUAUAUUAUUUUCAGUCUUCAUGAGUCUCUCCUCCACUUUUUUUGAGUCAGAUUUUCCAAGACAAAUCCUAUAAUGGUAUAAGGAAUUACUUUUUGGAAACCUGAAUUCCAAAAAUCUGGUUGGUUAGCUUUUUUUGUUUGUAUGUUUAAAACAGAAACGUUGCUUAAAAAGGAAAAAAAAUCAGAUCCAGUAGGUUAAAGAAGUAGCAUACUUGACUAUAGAUAACAGGAAUUUGCUGCUUAUGAUUUGCUUAAACUCAAAAAAUGAAAAUUCCACAGGGCAUGGUGGCUCAUGCCUAUAAUCCCAGCAAGCAGGGAGGUUGAGACAAGAGGAUUGCAAGUUUGAGGCCUACCUGGGCAAUCUUAGUGAGACCAAAAUAAAAAGAACUGGGGAUGUAGCUCAGUGGUAAAGCGCUCCCACGUUCAAUUCCCAGUAUCCGCCCCCCCCCCCAUUUUUUUUUUUUUUUUUAGUCUUUUGAAAAUGCUCUGAACUUUUAAGUUUCCCAGAGCCUUUCUAAAAAGAUUGCUUACCACCUUGGCUAAAGGUACCAGGUGUUGAAAAAACUCCUAUAUGAUUAUAUACAAAUACAGUUACCUCCACAUCCCUAAAGAAUCAAGGGAAAGGAAAAAUGAAACUUAUAACAAGAAAUACCAUUUCCUAAAUCAGCAGUAGAAACAAAGGGCAUUUAUGUUUUUAUUAGGUUGACACUUAGCGGCUUUCUGUUCUUGGAAUAUUAUUAAAAACCAAACUAGUGUAAACUAUGUUGAUAGGUUAAAUUGAAUCUUUAUCUGUGGUUAGCAUAGGAAUGGCCUUCCGAAGCACUGGGGUGGGGAAUUGCCAUCAGCUAACCUGAAAGCAUGUAGAACUUCUAGGUGAGUUCAUAAAUAAGGAGCAGAUGGAUAUUUUACUUAACAUUCAAAAAGUACUCAGUGUUAAGCAAGGUUUUAAGCACUUUGAAUGAAAACUCAUUAUCCUAUUAUUUUUUCCCUCCUAUUUACUCUCCUAUUUUACCCAUGAGGAAGGGGAAGCACAAGAAAGAAUGAGCAAUUUGUCCAAAAUCACACAGCUAGUAUGGCAGAAGUAGAAGACUAUGAGAAUCUCCAGGAGAGGCCUGUAGGGGACUGAAUAGUUUUUUGUUGUUGUUGUUAUUUGUUUGUUUGUUUGUUUUUAAUAUCUUUAUUUAUUUUUUAAUGUGGUGCUGAGACCCAGGGCCUCACACGUGCUGGGCAAGCUGUUUGUUUUUUUAAUGUUUUUUUAGUUGUAGAUGGACACAAUAUCUUUGUUUUUUUUUUAAUUAAUUAGUUUAUUUAUUUAUAUGGUGCUUAGGAUCCAACCCAGGGCCUUACACUUGCCAGGCAAGCACUCUACUACUGAGCCACAACCUUAGCCCCUGAAUAGUUUAGUUUAAUGGACUUUUAAAAUUGAUCCACAAGUUUUAUUUCCAGGUUGGGACCUCACAUUGGGGAGAAAUGACUAGAAAUGCAGUCAAAAUGCAGUCAAACAGGGAUAAUGGAGAAGGAAAGAGAGAUCCAAACUAAAAUGGGAUAAGGGAACAGAGUCAGAAACUACUGAAAGCAAGCUCCCAUGAUUUUUUUUUUUAAUUUUUACUUAUUUUUUAGUUGUAGUUGGAUAUAAUACCUUUGUUUUAUUUAUUUAUUUUUAUGUGGUGCUGAGAAUCAAACUCAGGACCUCACAUUUGCUAGGCGAGUGCACUACGCUGAGCCACAACCCCAGCUCAAGCUCCCAUGUUUUUUUUUUUUGUUUUUGUUUUUUUAUAUUUAUUUUUUAGUUUUUGGCGGCCCAACAUCUUUGUUUGUAUGUGGUGCUGAGGAUCGAACCCAGGCUGCACACAUGCCAGGCGAGUGUGCUACCACUUGAGCCACAUCCCCAGCCCAAGCUCCCAUGUUUUUAAAAAACCAAGUUGUUAAGGUUAUCUGAAUAAUGCUUUAUUCUUAAAGUCCAGGAAAACUAAAUUCAUGUAAAAAUGAGCAACAGGAAAAUAUCCAGGUUAGAUGUCAUACAAAGUUGUAAUAAAGAAAUAAAAUAAGGAGUAAAACAACAUCCAUGCAGACAAGAGUAUGCCAGGAAAAUGUACUCACAAAGCAGUACCAACACACGUGUGCAUUAUUUCACAGUGAGGUAAAAAAAAAAAAAAAAAUUCAGGAAAUUAUAUAAGAAAUAAAAGAAUAAGAAUUCAAAAACAAAAUGAAAGAAGUCAGAAAAGAACUAAAAAUCUUGGUAGCAGGAUUUGGAUUCCCACUCUAUGACUUGACUAUAGGAUUCAUGUGCUGAGAGCCCCAAUGGCAGUGGUGUCCAAGGUUGUUAAUGAAAGAAAGGAAUUUGUUUUGUUUCGUUUUAAUCAGGGAUUGAACCUAGGGGCACUUAACCACUGAGCCACAUCCCCAGCCCAUUGAUUUUUUUAUUGUGACAGGGUCUCACUAAAUUGCUGAGGCUGACUUGGAAUUUCUGAUCCUCCUGCCUCAGCCAUCCUGAGCCUCUGGGAUUACAAGCAUGUGCCACAUGGCCUUGCUGAAUUUCUUUACUUUUGAAAAUGGAUUUAAAAUGUUUUUAAACAAAGGGUUAGGGUUGUAGCCCAGUGGUAGAGACCUUGCCUACUAUGUGAGAGGCACUGGGUUCGAUCCUCAGCACAACAUAUAAAAAAAUAAAGGUAUUGCUUCCACCUGCAACUAAAAAUAUUUUUUAAAUUUUUAAGCAAUAAAUGUUGUUGAGCUAUUUUAGUAAAGGUGAUUGCUUUAAAUACAAGAAUGUUGUGGCUGUUUCAGUAGAUAAUUAAAAUUUAAAUCUCAAGAUGUAUACUUUCAGUCCAAAGACUGACACCUUACAUAUAACUAUAAUUUUGUGAAUAGUGAAUUAAUUUUUUGGAAACCAAAACCAUAAAAAUGAAUUUAAUACAUAGUAGCAAAUGUCACAAUAUAUUAUGGAAACAUUAUAAUUAUAUAGACACUCAUUCCAACUUUAUUAUAACAAUCUUUUUAACGUCACUAUGCAUUAUUAUAAGGUUGAAAUUUUGCCAUUAUAAAGGUAUGAGGAAUAUGUCUAAGAAAAGUGUGCUGUUAGAGGAAGAAUUGAAUGAUAAACUUAGAGCAAUCAUUCUUAAGGUAGGAGAGUGUGUGUAGUUUUAAAAAGCUUAUUCAGUAUGACUAUUGUUUUCCUAACACAAACCAAGAAAAUUAAGCUUGAUAAAAUCUGUUCAAUUGAUGGAUAUGUUCUACUGAGAGAAGGCACUAUAAUGGGAUAAGAUAAAAUCUGAAAUAUAGUGACAUAGACUGAGUAUGUGUACAUGUGUGUGAAUGUGUACUUUGGAAGUGAAUAGGUACACACUCAAUGAAUUCACAAAACUAUGGCAGAUUUUCCAAACUAUAGUACACAGUUCAAACCCAUAUGAAUUGAAAACCACAUAUAUGUACUAUUAUGGGCAAUUUGAGAGAUAUUUGAACUAUGUACAGAGAUUGUUACAUUCUGGUAUAGAUCAUCUUGGAAAAUUUUCCUAACCCUAAAAUUUUUUGCACGAAAACAUUUUAUUCAAAAGUCUUAAAGGAAAAAGAAUGGCUUUGUCAGCAAGUUGUUUUAAAAUUAGAACUUAUUCCAUUUCUUGAAUCAACAUAGUUAAAAGUGAGAAAAAAAAUUCAAACCAGAUUUUUAUGACAAUGUAAGUCCUAUAUUCUGAUGUGGACUUCAAAGCAAUUUUUCAUCUGGAUUUUGGAGCCCUAAGUAGACAUGCCUCGCCAAAAAAGGAAAUGUGGGUGACCUAGGUCUCUUUGCCCACUCUUUUUUUGUUCUUGAUCUGUUAGAUUUUUGUGUGUGUGUGUGCUGGGGAUUGAACCCAGGGCCUUGUGCAUGCGAGGCAAGCACUCUACCAGCUGAGCUAUCUUUCCAGCCCUUGCCCACUCUUAUUAAUAAGUUAAUUUACUAGUACAGCUGAUCCACAGAUGAACCAAAAUAGCAUUAGUGAAUUUAUCUGAAGCUCUUUUCUAGGUGAAUUGGGACCCUGGAUCUGAGGUAGUUAAGUUCUGCCUGCUUUAUUUCCUAGCAUCUUAACUUCUGCGCUACAUACAGACAAUUCUUUCUUACUCAGUGACUUAAUCUCUUCAAAAUUCACCCAGAUUCUCUGAUUAAUUUUAAUGCAUUUUUACUACUCAUGAUGCAUUCAUUGGAGCUCAAAACUUAUGAAAAAAAUAGAGAAUUUAAUUCAAUUUAGCCUAUUUUAUUCUUUAUUAGCUUUAACAAAAAGUCAUGGGGUAGAAUCAAAACUUUUGAAUAAAAAUAUCUUCAUUUUAAAGAGUUCAGUUUAUUUUUGGUAUCAUAACCCUGGGACCAUAGAGAAUUAACUUGUUCCUCUUGCAUAUACAGAGUUUCUGCUUUGUUUGUUAUAUAAUAGAGAAUUUAAUAGUAUGACUAUCACUAAGUUCUAUGGAACUUUGGGAAAAGCACUAUCUCCAAGAUAGAUGCAGAAAUAUAUGGUUUUGUUUCAUCAUGUGACUAACUUUGUUAUUGUUUUAAAAUUGUGAUUUGUGAUUAUUAUAGGGCUAUACAUGCAUGUGGAAAGAGUAUAUAUACUAAGAAAAUAAAACAUUAGGAGGUUAGCCAGUUAACCUGCUCCUGAGUCUGCCAGUUUCCCUCUGAAGAGACUACCAAUUUCUGUCACUGAGGUAAAUGAGCAACCCUUCUUGCAGUGCAGUCUUUAAAGUCUUAAAAAAAAACACACAUUAGGCUAUGUACCUUGGCACUGUUGGAAAGGGCCAUACAGCAUUGGUUUCCUGAGUCAUCAUUGGUGUUGCUUACACAUAAAAUGUAAAUGAUCCAAAAUUUAUAAAUGAUUGCAUAAUAAAAAUUAGAAUGCCCUGUUGUGGAUCAUUCAAAAGGCACCACUGAGGUUAUAGUUUAACCAUGCUUUUAAAAAUUUAUGGAAACAAAUGAUAAUAAGUCAAACAUGCUGAGAGAUUUUAAAUAAUUAAUUGCAUAAUUUAUGGAAUAUUUCCUUUCUCUUAAUGGCAUACAAUUUGAAUAACUGUUUAAUUAUUGUCUUUAACUGAAUAGACUUUUCAAAAAGCUAUACGCAUUGCCAGAAAAAUCUAUUUUGUAUUUUAAUAAACCUAAUUGUGAAUGUUUAUAUUUACUGCUCUCUGUUUGUUUGUAGCAUAAGAAAUUACUUGUGUAUAUAUGUGGGAACUUGGAGCAAACUCUCCUCUCAGGGAAUGGCUCCUCAUACCUUAUCAGAUCCCCCAUAUUAGUUACUUAUUUUAACCACUGGACUUCAAAACUCAACAGUUUGAUAGACACUUUGAGAUCUUAGACCCUAUCAGGGCUGCACUCUUAUCUUUGGCAGGCAUUGGAGCUUUGGAGCUUCCCCAUCAACACCCAACCUGCCCUCUUGCAUCAGGUGGACCUCUGAUGUGGUGAUCAAGCCAGUUUAUCCUGAGAACUACUUGUAUAAAUGCACACCUCAAACUUUAAUUAGACAUUACUUUUCAGAGACUGGGUUCCAUCUUAGUUGAGCAAUUGAACUUCAACAAUUUUGGAACUCACUCAACUAUGUUUUCAGUGUCCCUGUCUUUUGAGUAUAUCCUCUGUGACCUUUGUUCAUAUUAUUCACCCUUGGCCCCUUUUUUUGAGGUUGCGGGGGUAUCUGGGAUUGAACUUAGGGGUACUCGACCAAUGAGCCACACCCCAGCCACAUUUUGUGUUUUAUUUAGAGACAGGGUCUCAUUGAGUUGCUUAGUACUUGAGGUCACUGAGGCUAGCUUUGAACUCACAAUCCUCCUGCCUCAGCCUCCAGAACUGCUAGGAUUACAGGCCUGCACCACCAUGCCCAGCCCCACCCUUGGCCCUUUUUAAGCACUGUAAACCUAAGGAGUUCUUUUUGCAUGGCAACAAAUAGUGAUUUGUGAACUCCUUUAAAGAAAAAAAUAAAUUACUUGUGUUGUCAUAGUCAACAACAGCUUGUAUUUGAACUCUAUUUACUACAUUUCUAAAAUCAUGGUAAAUAUAGUCUCCCUUUAUUGUUCAUUGAAUUAAGCUACUAUCUUGGAACACUAAGUAGUUAUUUUCUAUAAACAAGUUAUUUUGUUACACUGUGAUAAUUCAGAACCUAGUGUUUCAUUAGUAUGGUCUGAAUUAUCUUCCAAUUUAUUUAUCUGGAUAUUUACCUACAUUGAAGUCACUAUCAUAUUUCUGCAUCUUUUUCUUAGAACUAUAAUCUACAAAAUAGUCAUUUCUUCAAACACUCACUGAAUAUACAUUACAGGUGAAAGGUGUAUAAGACAUAGUGCUAUUUCUAGCAGCCUCACAAUGUUUGUCCUGACAGUCCAAUCAGCAUGGAAAAGCAAAACACUUGGACAAAUCAAUUUUAUAUAAUCUGAAUACAGAAGAUAAAUUCAUAAUCUGAACACUUCCAUGAUGGUGAAACAGUGCUGUAAUAAUGUUGGUAGAUAAAGCUUUAUUCUUGGGGCUGGGCUGUGGCUCACUUGCCUAGCAUGCAUGAGGCACUGAGUUUGAUCCCUGGUACCAUAUACAUUAAACAAAUAAAACAAAGGUAUUGUGUCCAUCUACAACUACAAAAACAUAUUUUAAAAAAAUAAGCUUUAUUCUUGCUUAGAAAAACAAUUGCCUGCUGUCCUCAGGUAAUAGAACAAGAAUUUAGAAAUUCUCUUAAUCCCUAAAAGAAACAUUGGGUCAUUCAUGACUUUAAUUUUGUUUAGUUUGGUCCUGGCAAAAAGAUUUUACUUUUUGAUAGUUACUAUAUUGAUGGAGGUAAGAUUGAUCAAGCUUGGUUUGCUUAGUACUGACUUGCUAGAGUUGAUUAUGGGGGAACUUUGCCAAAAUAAGGUUGCUUCACUGAGAAGUAAAUUAUAGGAAAAGUCCAAAAAGAUUGCUCUGUAGCAUCUUGGUUGCUUCUCUAGCAGAUAUAUUUAUUUCUAAAGCACAGUGCAUUAAAUGUACUAAAAAGCAAAAGUUGUAUGGUUCAAUCAUUACCUAAUUCUGCAUUCUUUUAUUAUCAUUGUUUUACCAUAGACAAGAGAAGGAAGCAUCUCUCAUCUCCUAACUAAAGCCUCUUGAACCCCCCAAAUCUAAUUGCACUUAGUUUUUCCUUUUAAUAGUCAGUAGUAACUUUAUCCUCCCAAAUGGCUCUGCCAGAAAUCUGGUUGUCAUCCUUGAAAAUUCCAUAUCUCUACUAAGGGUUGAUAUUUCUGGAUUACUAUGAAAACCUCACUGUCUAUUCUAUAUCUAAACUUGCCCCUUCAAUCAAAUUUCCAAUAGUUAUAAGAGUGUCAACUUACAAGGGACAUGAUAUUAUGUCAUUUCUCUGCUUAAAAUCUUCUAGUGGCUUUGCAUUUUUUUUAAUAUUUAUUAUUUGGGGGUUGGCAACUUUAUUUUUUUAAGAGAGAGAGAGGGAGAGAAUUUUAACAUUUAUUUUUUAGUUUUCGGCUGACACAACAUCUUUGUUUCUAUGUGGUGCUGAAGAUCGAAUCUGGGCCGCACGCAUGCCAGGCAAACGCUCUGCAGCUUAAGACACAUCCCCAGCCGGGGCUUUACAUUUUUCUUAAAAUAAAAUUAAAAAUCUUUGACUUGGCUUACCAUGCCCUACAUGAUUGCUUCUGUAAUUUUAAGCUGCCACCAUGCUGGAGCCAUGUUAGCUUCCCAGCUACUGCAGUCCAACUUAAAUUCCUUUUCCCCUUAGGACCUUAUGUGUUAUUUCCUCUGCUGGCAAGUACUUUCUCUAACUUUUGGUAGAACCCCUACCUUCACUACCUCUGCAAUCCUGAUCCUGCAGGCUCAAUUGAAUUCUUCUAUUAUAUUUUUUUCAAAACCCUCUAUCCUUGUCUUUUAUAGCACUCACCAUUAAUAAUUACAUGGUUAUUUGCAUAAUUAUUUAUUCCUGCACUUUCCCUACUACUUACAAGCUCUUUGAAAGUUGAAACCUCACCUGUUUUUUGCUCAUACUCUAUUCCAAGCAACUAGUGCAUUCCCUAAAACAAUAACUGCUAAAAAAUAUUUAUCAAAAGCAAAUGAGGGGCUGGGAUUGUAGCUCAGUGGUAGGCACUUGCCUAGCAUGCAUGAGGCCCUGGGUUCGACCCUUAGCACCACAUGCUAUAGCGCUUUUGGUAGUAUGGUCAUUUUGACAAUAUUAAUUCUGCCUUUCCAAGAACAAGGGACAUCUUUCCAUCUUCUAUCUUUUGUUUAAUUUCUUUCUUUAGUGUUCUGUAAUUUUCAUUAUAGAGGUCUUUUACCUCUUUCAUUAAGUUGAUUCCUAAGUAUUUUAUUUAUUUAUUUAUCUAUUUAUUUAUUUUGAGGCUAUUGUAAAUCUCUGUUAAAAGAGAAACUUCACCAUGUACUCAUUUUUUUUUUUCCUGUGGGGCAGUGAGCAAAUUUUCCUCUGCUAUUGUUAAAUCCUCUGGCUAGCACUACCUGAACAUCCCCAGUUUCUGAAAUUCCUGAAGAAAGUCAAUCACCUUAUCUUCCCAUUGAUUUCACCAGGACUUUUAUGUAGUUCCAAAUUUUGCUUCUGUAUCUUAUUUCUCAGAUAUUCUAAGUCCAUAUACUGCUUGCCAGUGAUAUUGCUACUGUUGCUGCUUAUUAUUUGCAUUGACCAGUCUUUGCUUCUUAUUGCCAUGAUAUUUCACUAUUUAGAAAAGUAUUUCUUUUAGAAAACUGGAAGAUUUUGUUUUUUCCCUCUCUUCCAGAUCAUUUAAAAGCAUUAAUUAAAAUGGUCUUCUCAAAGAUAGUUUGAGCAUCACUGUGACAUCUUUCCCUAAGUUUUAGCCCUAAGCCAGUUUUCUGUUGUGUAGGACUUAACCCCUUUCAAACGCUUGGGUAAUUCCUUUCCCUCAAGAGUGUGUGGGCCAUGCAAUUUGCUUUUAACUUUGUGUUAUAUUGAUAAUAUAACAAAGAUGAUAGGAUAUAAGCGGUUACAUUUAUUUGAUUAUGUUAACUAAUUGUAACAUCUGUCUUUUUUUCCUUGCUGGUUUUGAAGAAGUAAUCUACUGUGUUGUCAGCUUCCCUGUGGAGAGGACUGUGUGGUAAGGAUCUGAGGGAAGCCUCUAAACAACAGUUAAACAAGAAAUAGGAUCACAGUCUGUCAUACUGAAGAGAACUGAAUGCUGCACAUGAACAUAAAAGUAGAUCCUUUCCGGUCGAACUCAGUCCUGGCUAACACCACUAUUUCAGUCUUACAGAGGACCCAGCUCAGCAGUACCUGAACAUUUAACUCACAAAAAUGAGUUGAAGCCAUUAAGUUUACAGUAAUAUAAUUUACGGAUGGGAAAACUUUCAACGUAGAACUUGGUCAAAUCUUUUUUGAGAAAAUAAAUAUACAUCUUCCUUCCUCGUUUGUAAUUAUUUACCUACAAAAAUCAUCUAAUUAAGUAUGACUUUUGCCUUAAAAAUAUUUAUGAUUAUUCCUUCUGGCCCCAGGGAUUAUUUAUAUGUACAUUGCUUUAGUCAGCUUUUUUACUGCUGUGACGAAAAGACCAGACCAGAACAAUUGUGGAGGAGGAAAAGUUUAUUUGAGGACUCCGGGAUUCAGAGGUCUUAAUCCAUCCGGAGAAGGCCUGCUCCAUUCCUCAGGGCUCAAGGUGAGAGUGUGGCAGAGGGAAAUGGCUCACAUGAUGAUCCAGAAGUAGAGAGAGACUCCACUUACAAAGAUAGACCCCACAGCCACGCCCCAACUCUCAUCUCCUCCAGCCACUCCCUACCUCUCCAAUUACCACUCAGUUAGUCCCUCUCAGGGGAUUAAUUCACUGAUUGUGUUAAGACUCACAACCCAGUCAUUUCUCCUCUGAACCUUCUUGUGUUGUCUCACACGUAAGCUUCUGGGGACACCUCACAUCCAAACCAUAAC
rnacentral:lncRNA from 1 species